AUUGAACGCUGGCGGCAGGCCUAACACAUGCAAGUCGAACGGUAGCACAGAGAGCUUGCUCUCGGGUGACGAGUGGCGGACGGGUGAGUAAUGUCUGGGAAACUGCCCGAUGGAGGGGGAUAACUACUGGAAGCGGUAGCUAAUACCGCAUAACGUCGCAAGACCAAAGUGGGGGACCUUCGGGCCUCACACCAUCGGAUGUGCCCAGAUGGGAUUAGCUAGUAGGUGGGGUAAUGGCUCACCUAGGCGACGAUCCCUAGCUGGUCUGAGAGGAUGACCAGCCACACUGGAACUGAGACACGGUCCAGACUCCUACGGGAGGCAGCAGUGGGGAAUAUUGCACAAUGGGCGCAAGCCUGAUGCAGCCAUGCCGCGUGUAUGAAGAAGGCCUUCGGGUUGUAAAGUACUUUCAGCGGGGAGGAAGGCGGUGAAGUUAAUAACUUCACCGAUUGACGUUACUCGCAGAAUAAGCACCGGCUAACUCUGUGCCAGCAGCCGCGGUAA
rnacentral:rRNA from 1 species